ACUCCUACGGGAGGCAGCAGUGGGGAAUAUUGGACAAUGGGGGAACCCGUGAUCCAGCCAUGCCGCGUGUGUGAAGAAGGCCUUAUGGUUGUAAAGCACUUUAAGCGAGGAGGAGGCUACUGAGACUAAUACUCUUGGAUAGUGGACGUUACUCGCAGAAUAAGCACCGGCUAACUCUGUGCCAGCAGCCGCGGUAAUACAGAGGGUGCGAGCGUUAAUCGGAUUUACUGGGCGUAAAGCGUGCGUAGGCGGCUUUUAAGUCGGAUGUGAAAUCCCCGAGCUUAACUUGGGAAUUGCAUUCGAUACUGGGGAAGCUAGAGUAUGGGAGAGGAUGGUAGAAUUCCAGGUGUAGCGGUGAAAUGCGUAGAGAUCUGGAGGAAUACCGAUGGCGAAGGCAGCCAUCUGGCCUAAUACUGACGCUGAGGUACGAAAGCAUGGGAGCAAACAGGAUUAGAUACCCCUGGUAGCGACUGA
rnacentral:rRNA from 1 species